rnacentral:lncRNA from 1 species
UCUCCUUGCCAACCAGCAGCUCCCUUGGUAGGGGCAUGCAGAAGACCUGAUGACACAAACCCUCCAAAGAGUUUCACCCUCACCACAACAGGUGGCUUCCUGCUCGGCAGCCCAUCCUGCAUCACUUCAGUGGACUUCUCUGACAUCUACUAGACCACAUUAAAUGAAUCACAGCCUUGAAACUGAACUGGAAGGACUUCCUUCAAGGAGCCAGCAUAUGAACUUGCUGCCUAUCUUUAGCAAGGAGAUGCAAAUGACAUCCACAAACCUCUUCUGCUGUAUACCUGGAUGAAAGCAAGGCUAGCUGUGUGUCCUAUGGCACCAAGGACUGAAAGAUUGUAAGAAGUAAGAUGACCUACAUCCAAAGUGAAAAGUUAUUCAGCCUCUGAAGAGAAGCAUUUUGUUUGGGGAUCUUCAAGUAUGCUUGUCAGCACCGAGAACUGGAAAAAAAUCUCUGAUUGUCCUGCAGCAAUGGCAUUAAAGGCUCCUCAUAACAUACAGAACCAGAAUUGUGCCAUAAUUUACUGAAAUUGAACAUUGCUCUGUGACUGCUAAUUUUCCAUCGAGAUGAUUCUGUCUCUAACCAAGAAAAGAAAAGUUUGUCUUCCUGACUGCUGACACUGCUGACCAAGCCCACCACCAGAUGCCUGGCUGCACACCCAGAGGGCAGCCGCUUCCCGUGGUCCUCUCGAAGAACUUCCCUUUUGCAAUGCAUGUUUAGCAAGUGGAUGAGUUUGUCUUUUCUGAUUUCUCUGCAAGCUCUGCAUUGCCCACCUGAACCAGUGCUUCAGAAGAACUAAUGGGAUCUCUGACCCUCCAACAUCCUCUUCCAGACUUUCACUUUCCUGGCUCCUUGCAGGGACAUGUAAUAAACGUGCUCUCCAGAGAA